rnacentral:tRNA from 1 species
GGAGGAAUGGCCGAGUGGUUGAAGGCACCGGUCUUGAAAACCGGAAAUAGAUAAACAACUAUUCGAGAGUUCGAAUCUCUCUUCCUCCU